AGGGUUGUUGCUCAGUGGUAAGAGCACUUGCCUAGCAUGUAUGAGACCCUGGGUUUGAUUCUCAGCACCACAU
rnacentral:tRNA from 1 species